AAUUAUCGACAUAUGGAAACAGGAAGUUACAGUUUCCGUAUCUUUGUCAACAAAACAUUUGCGAAAGCCUGAAUAAGAACAUUACUCGCAGUAAGUUCAAUAGCUAGUUACAUGUUUCAGGGUUUUGUGAAUAUAAUGGGGAGAGAUAGGAACAAUAUGCUAUAUGGGCGAGUAUAUUGAAAACUGAUUAGAUAAUGUUGACUUGUUAUCUGAAGACUAGCUAGCAGAAGCCAUAUUGCAUGAUUGAUUUUAUUUAUUUUAUUAUGGUGUCAUGCAUCUUCUCACGGAUCCCCAGCCCACAUGAGCUUAUAAAACACUAUUUGCUGUAGCAAAGUAAAAUGAUAUAUACACACACAGUGCCUUCAGAAAGUACUCCUAACGUUACCCCUUGACUUAUUCCACAUUUUGUGUUACAGCCUGAAUUCAAAAUGAUUUCAAUUGUUCUCACCCAUCAACACAGAAUACUCCAUAAUGACAAAGUGAAAACAUGUUUUUAGAAAUGAACAAAUGUAUUCAAUUAAAUACAGAUAUCUAAUUUACAUAAGUAUUCCCACCCCGAGUCAACACAUGUUAGAAUCACCUUUGGCAGUGAUUACCGCUGUAAGUCUUUCUGGGUAAAUCUUUCUCUGCAGACAUGGAUUGUACAAUAUUUACACAUUUUUAAAUUCUUCAAACUUUUAAGUUGGUAAUUGCUAGACAGCCAUUUAAGUAUUGCCAUAUAUUUCCCAGCCGAUUUAAGUCCAAACUGUAAUACGGUUGAUGUCAACACCCCUCAUCAAAUAUUUUAAAAAGUGUUAAAAUAACGAGAUGUAUCUACUAAUCCAAAGAGGAACAGGCGGGAGCUUGACAGCUAAACAUGGAGGAGUCUUCUCUGCUUACAGAUGUGUGCCAUCAGGUAAGGAUGAGACAGACUCCGACGGGAAUGUGAUAUUCAAAGUGUCAGCAGAAUUGUGCUGUGGAUGCACAUUUCUCUCACUGACUUCGGUUCAGGUGGAGUCACGUAUUGCUGUGAUAUGACAGAGCCUCUGCUGGACACCAAUCUCAACCCUGAGCAAUUGGUAGUUUGUCAAAGGAGGGGGUUGGUUUUCCUCAUGACAGUGCUGAAGAAUGUCUGAGUUUUAUAAGCCUUACUUUUCACUAGGUGAUUCAUUUCUAGGUGAUUCAUUAUGUUUUUUAAACCCAUUUACAGGCAAAUCCAUAAAAUACAUCAAGAUCUAUUGGAGGACUAUUAGUGUCAAUGCCAAAUGAUAAUCAAACGUUUUGAGGUUACGCUUCAGUCCUUGGCCUAGGGAGAGAAGAAAAAUAUGCAAUAUCGCCUGUAUACUAAAAGUAACGUAAUAUGCAGGCUAAAUCUAUGUCCACAUUAAAAGCACUAGAGCGCAAAGAUUGAAUUCUAGUCAAUGGUGCGCAAACAUAUUCUCAAAUCGGGCAGAACGAGCCAGUGCAGCCCAGAGGCGUGUGCGCCAAAUGGAUUUGGUUCCUAUUAUCACUUGUAGGGCUGCACGCGCACCACCCUGAGCAGUCUGGGCAAGGCACAGAUCAUAUCUGCUAAAUAUGAUAGUGUGAUAAGAUAUUACCUGUCCAACUCUAAGGGCCGUAUUCAAUCAGCGCCCGGUUUCCCAAAAGCAUUUUAAGGCUAAGUAAAUCGUUAGAGCUUCGUUACAUCUCCGAGCUGUUUCCCAAAACAAUCGUUAAAUUAGCUAGCAAGUGCAAGCUAACUAGCUUGCAAGUGCAAGCUAACUAGCUAAAUUGCCAUAAACGUUUAAUGCUUUUCGACCUGUCCCCAAAUUAAUAUAAUUGGUUCAGAGUUUGUUUUGAUAUUUUAACCUGCGUUUGGUGUUGGGGAACAAAAUUAAUUCAUGCACGCGCGCAGCCGGUUUGGGUUCGGUGUAUAACGCUUGCCUCAGACUACCCAUAGAAGGGCAUCAGUGGAUGCUUUGUUGCCCUCCGGCAUCACAUAUACAUAUUUAGAUCUCCGCUAAACAUAACAUCACAUGGUUUAUUUGUCUCUCUGGACCACGGAUAACUUCAGAACAAAGUUGACAACAAAUAAAAAGUUGCCAAUGUCUUUGCAAUUGAUACAAACAAGCGAUGUAUAAAAUAUGCUUCAAAUGAAAACAGAAAUAAAAUAAACAGUAGUCUAUUUGCCUAUUUCAAUCAUAUUGAAAUACGUUUAAUGUUAAUUUACGUUAUAUUUUUCUACUUGUAGGCUGUCUGUAAUUUGUCUCAAUAUAUCUCAUGAUGUGUAGCUUAACAUAGUUAAAACAUUCCUAAGCCUAAAUUCCAAACUAUCGGGAAAUUGGGCUCGGGCCUGUCAACUGACCUGUAUCCUUACAGCGCUAAAAUACAUAUUUUUAGUCAGGAGCAAAGAGUUGGCCUCGGAUUGUGAGCUCAGGGAAGAGAACCGAAGAGCAACAUCAUUUUGAGCACUUAAGAGGGCACAGCAAAGUGCAGUGAGGAAGUCAGUACCAGAAGAUGAGUACAGCUCCACAGAGUCAGCAAGAAAAUGAGUAUGAGGACGUCUGUGUAAGUCAGUCAGCAUGAACAUUUAGCAUAAUUAUAUGAAGUGCAUAUGGAUGUAGACUUUUCACAGUAACGCUUAUAUAACCCAAACAUAUCUUGUUUAGUUAUGUUUAUUUGUAUUGUUAAUAGCUAUAUUAAUGAUGAACCUUUUUCCAUGUUCUCCACAGCUGAAAAAAAGUAAGAUAAAGAGAGAAACUGCUCUGAUUCUCCUCUGUCUCUGUUGACAUUAUUGAUGGCCGGUGUACCAUUCUGCAGUGCACCUUGUCUCCCCGUCUCUUCCGCUUGCAGCAAGAAAGGACCAGUCUUACAUUUUGCUAGUAAAGGCAGGGGGAAAGCAUUGCAGUCUACAAGCCAAGAGAAAUUGAGGCCCCCACGCCCAUGUGGGAGGGCCGGACUGAGGGAGGAGGCAGGCGGCAUGGAGGAGGACGUGGAGAGCAACGUCAGCAACAUCAGAACUUUUCUGGAAAAAAAGAAACACACAACUGAAAUUACGUGACAGAAUUGAUCAAAAAGGGAGAUAGAAAGACACCCACAAGGGGGGAGAUUACAUAAUUCAUGCAGAUCCACAAAAGUGGCAUCCUGACAUUUUACUAAAAGUCAAAUUCAUAAACAUUGUGUAGAUUUGAAUGUGCACUUUCAAUUAAAUUGUACUAUGUUUGAUGAUG